AGAGUUUGAUCCUGGCUCAGAUUGAACGCUGGCGGCAUGCCUUACACAUGCAAGUCGAACGGCAGCGCGGGGCAACCUGGCGGCGAGUGGCGAACGGGUGAGUAAUAUAUCGGAACGUACCCUGGAGUGGGGGAUAACGUAGCGAAAGUUACGCUAAUACCGCAUACGAUCUAAGGAUGAAAGUGGGGGAUCGCAAGACCUCAUGCUCCUGGAGCGGCCGAUAUCUGAUUAGCUAGUUGGCGGGGUAAAAGCCCACCAAGGCAACGAUCAGUAGCUGGUCUGAGAGGACGACCAGCCACACUGGAACUGAGACACGGUCCAGACUCCUACGGGAGGCAGCAGUGGGGAAUUUUGGACAAUGGGCGCAAGCCUGAACGAGCAAUGCCGCGUGAGUGAAGAAGGCCUU
rnacentral:rRNA from 1 species